rnacentral:rRNA from 1 species
GACGAACGCUGGCGGCGUGCCUAAUACAUGCAAGUAGAACGCUGACUACUUUAGCUUGCUAGAGUAGAAGGAGUUGCGAACGGGUGAGUAACGCGUAGGUAACCUGCCUACUAGCGGGGGAUAACUAUUGGAAACGAUAGCUAAUACCGCAUAACAGUGUUUAACACAUGUUAGAUGCUUGAAAGAUGCAAUUGCAUCACUAGUAGAUGGACCUGCGUUGUAUUAGCUAGUUGGUGGGGUAACGGCCCACCAAGGCGACGAUACAUAGCCGACCUGGGAGGGUGAUCGGCCACACUGGGACUGAGACACGGCCCAGACUCCUACGGGAGGCAGCAGUAGGGAAUCUUCGGCAAUGGGGGCAACCCUGACCGAGCAACGCCGCGUGAGUGAAGAAGGUUUUCGGAUCGUAAAGCUCUGUUGUAAGAGAAGAACGUGUGUGAGAGUGGAAAGUUCACACAGUGACGGUAACUUACCAGAAAGGGACGGCUAACUACGUGCCAGCCGCCGCUGUAA